AUGCGCUACUGAUGCAUUGCGGUUCAAGCGCGCCGUCCGCACCUGCCUGACGGCGCGCUCGCGGCGCCGUUGCAGGCGUGGGUCAGCC
rnacentral:sRNA from 2 species